UGGUAACGUGCCUGUAGUUCCAGCUACUUGGGAGGCUGAGGCAGGAGAAUUGCUUGAGUCCAGGAGGCAGAGGUUGCAGUGAGUCGAGAUUGUGCCACUGCACUCUAGCCUGGGCAACAAAUCGAGGAGAAAAAAGUUUCGUUUUUAUGAGUAUGAGAGACUAUCACAGUACUGCCAGACUCCCUUGCAGCUAUGGACACUGAGAAAUAUUUGGCGUAGUUAACAUGUUGACGAAUACAGAGACAGGGC